UACGUAGGGGGCAAGCGUUGUCCGGAAUCAUUGGGCGUAAAGCGCGCGUAGGCGGCCCGAUAAGUCUGCUGUGAAAGUCCAGGGCUCAACCCUGGAAUGCCGGUGGAUACUGUCGGGCUAGAGUUCGGAAGAGGCAAGUGGAAUUCCUGGUGUAGCGGUGGAAUGCGCAGAUAUCAGGAGGAACACCUAUAGCGAAGGCAGCUUGCUGGGACGACACUGACGCUGAGGCGCGAAAGCCAGGGGAGCAAACGGG
rnacentral:rRNA from 1 species